rnacentral:tRNA from 1 species
UGAGUUAUAGUUUAAUGGUAAAACGAGCCAGCCCAUUUGAAAUUCCUCCCAAGAACAGCGAAUGGUUCUCUGGUCAUUGGCAAAGACUUAUUUUUGAAGGCAUAAGUCUCUGCUAGUUACUAAUACUGGUUCAUGCGGGUUCAAUCCCCGCUAACUCGA